rnacentral:rRNA from 1 species
CGAGUUUGAUCCUGGCUCAGAACGAACGCUGGCGGCAUGCUUAACACAUGCAAGUCGAACGGUAGCAGGCCCUUCGGGGUGCUGACGAGUGGCAAACGGGUGAGUAAUAUUUAGAUAAUCUACCCUGGAGACUGGGACAACUAUGGGAAACUAUAGCUAAUACCGGAUAAGCUCCCAAGCUUAUUAGUUUGAGAGAAAAGGAUGGGGAUCUUCGGACCUGUCGCUUUAGGAUGAGUCUAAAGCCUAUCAGCUUGUUGGUGGGGUAAAGGCCUACCAAGGCAACGACGGGUAGUCGGCCUGAGAGGGUGAACGGCCACACUGGAACUGAGACACGGUCCAGACUCCUACGGGAGGCAGCAGUGAGGAAUUUUCCGCAAUGGGCGAAAGCCUGACGGAGCGAUGCCGCGUGAGGGAAGAAGGCCUUCGGGUCGUAAAACCUCUGUUGCUGGGGAAGAAGGAAGUCUUUCUGAAUACGGAAGAUUUUUUGACGCAACCCAGCGAGGAAGCCCCGGCUAACUACGUGCCAGCAGCCGCGGUAAUACGUAGGGGGCGAGCGUUGUUCGGAUUUACUGGGCGUAAAGAGUGUGUAGGCGGUUCUGAAAGUUAGAUGUGAAAGCUAGAAGCUUAACUUCUAAAUUGCAUUUAAAACUACAGGUCUAGAGUAUGGUAGGGAAAAGCGGAAUUCCUGGUGUAGCAGUGAAAUGCGCAGAUAUCAGGAGGAACACCGGAGGCGAAAGCGGCUUUUUGGGCCAAUACUGACGCUGAGACACGAAAGCAUGGGGAGCAAACAGGAUUAGAUACCCUGGUAGUCCAUGCCGUAAACGAUGAGAACUAAGCGUAGGGGGAAGUGAAUCCCUCUGUGCUGCAGUUAACGCAUUAAGUUCUCCGCCUGGGAAGUACGGUCGCAAGAUUAAAACUCAAAGGAAUUGACGGGGGCCCGCACAAGCGGUGGAGUAUGUGGUUUAAUUCGACGAUACGCGAGAAACCUUACCCAGACUUGACAUCCUUCUGAAGAUAUGUGUAAUGCAUAUUGCCCUCCGGGGCAGAAGUGACAGGUGGUGCAUGGUUGUCGUCAGCUCGUGUCGUGAGAUGUUGGGUUAAGUCCCGCAACGAGCGCAACCCUUACGUCUAUUUGCCAAUACUUAGGGUAGGCACUAUAGUCGGACUGCCGGCGACAAGCCGGAGGAAGGCGGGGACGAGGUCAAAUCAGCACGCCCUUUAUGUCUGGGGCAUCACACGUACUACAAUGGCCAGUACAGCGAGUCGCAACCUCGCGAGAGGAAGCUAAUCUCUUAAAACUGGUCUAAGUUCGGAUUGUAUGGCUGAAACUCGCCUGCAUGAAGUUGGAAUCGCUAGUAACUGUAAAUCAGCAUGUUACAGUGAAUACGUUCUCGGGCCUUGUACACACCGCCCGUCACACCAUGGAAGAAGGUAACGCCCGAAGCCGGUGAGCUAACCCAACUCGGGAGGCAGCUGUCUAAGGCGGGACUUUUGACUGGGGUGAAGUCGUAACAAGGUA